UGACGCAGACCCGAAACCAAGUGACCUACCCAUGACCAGGUUGAAGGCGCGGUAAAACGCGCUGGAGGACCGAACCCACGUAAGUUGAAAAUUGCGGGGAUGAGUUGUGGGUAGCGGUGAAAUUCCAAACGAACUUGGAGAUAGCUGGUUCUCUCCGAAAUAGCUUUAGGGCUAGCCUCGCAAAGAGGAUGCUGGAGGUAGAGCUCUGUUUGGACUAGGGGCCCGUCAAGGGUUACUGAAUUCAGAUAAACUGCGAAUUCCAGACAUUUAUGUGCGGGAGUCAGACUGCGAGUGAUAAGAUCCGUAGUCGAAAGGGAAACAGCCCAGAUCACCAGUUAAGGUCCCAAAAUUCAUGCUAAGUGGAAAAGGAUGUGGAGUUGCGCA
rnacentral:rRNA from 1 species